CACGUCAGCCUUUGUCAGAUCGGAAACAGCAGAGAGCUGACAGGAGAUGAAGGAGGAAAUAUGGUGGAUAACGUUGCGACUACAUUGCUGGCAUCUUAAGCCCUGUUCGCCUCCAGGACAGCGUCUACCAGCAAUUUAACAUACAGUAGGCCCAAAAUGCAUCAUCCAUCCAUGUAACAGUGUUACAUAAGAUAUUGCCUCUGGGAAAUAUCAUGCAUGACAGACAGAUUAACAGACUGAAACAACGCUUCACCCGAGUUUCCCCUCCUGGCUUCGAUGUGCAGACAGCAACAUCACCUCCUCUUUUGGAUGCUCCGCGACAGCCAUAAAGGAGUCCGUAAAAUAACUGCCAGUCCCGGUGACCUCCUGCCGGAGACAGUUCACGGGGCUGACUCUCUCACCUAGUGGGCACGGCCGUUUUAUCUCCACAGGC